UACGUAGGGUCCGAGCGUUGUCCGGAAUUAUUGGGCGUAAAGAGCUCGUAGGCGGUUUGUCGCGUCUGCUGUGAAAUCCCGAGGCUCAACCUCGGGCCUGCAGUGGGUACGGGCAGACUGGAGUGCGGUAGGGGAGAAUGGAAUUCCUGGUGUAGCGGUGGAAUGCGCAGAGAUCGUAAGGAAGACCAGUGGCGAAGGCGAGUUUCUGGACGGUAACUGACGCUGAGGCACGAAGGCCAGGGGAGCAAACGGG
rnacentral:rRNA from 1 species